rnacentral:lncRNA from 1 species
AUCAAAGCAAUAAAAGUUGUAUUUCCUAAAACACUUUCUCCAUUACCUCUAAAAGAAUUUUACUCUAACAAGGACAUGCUUCUCUCAUCUUGUUGAUCUUUCUGGUCCCAUGGAUUUGAUAUUUUUCUUCUUUCGUUAUUGAAGAUAAGAGUUAUCUUGAAGUCUUGAAGAUAGCAAGGUGACUCUAAAAGCAAAUGAAACGAGAAAAUUGAGUUAUUAUCGAUGUCAUAUCGCGAAAAUCCAUAUCGAUCGUUGGUUCCGGUUCAGAAGGACUCGUUCCAUAUGACUGGUAGUGACAUGAACAAGAAAUAUUAGAAUUCUCGACGUAGAU